UAGGUCAAGAGGUUAAUUAUGAGAUCUCAAAUUAAAUUGUUGGUCUCAUGGUAUAUCUCAGUAUAGAAGAUAAUACUAGGGAUCUUUUUUUGUUUAUAAACUAUCCCAACAAAUGGGUGGUAUCAGGAAUAGCUGUUUACGAGGCUAUACGAUUUAUGCCACUUGAUGUGCAUACAAUAUGCAUGGGGUUAGCCGCUUCUAUGGGAUCUUUCAUUCUGAUCGGAGGAGAAAUUACCAAAUAUCUACCAUUCCCUCACGCUUGGCGCCAUUGAGUUUUUAUUUGAAAAAAAAAAGACUAUGCCUUCAAUAUGAAUAAUAAAUAAUAAUAGCAUGGCACUAUGAGUUUGAUAUUAACAAAUAAUUAUUAUUUUUUCAUAACAUAAGAUUUUAUAUCGAGAUAGUAAUAUGAAAGCAAUAGAACCAUCAUAGUAUUUUUGACUCCUACGAAAGGAAGGGUGGUAAAUGGAUCAUUCAACGAUCUGAAUCAAAUGGAUUCUCUUUCUUUCUUAGAUAGAAUAGAAGAGAAGAAAAAAGUAAAUUCCAUUGCGGAGCCAUAUGCAUAGAAGAUGCUUGUUUGGUUGUUCAAUUUCUUUUUGUUUUUUUUUAUCCCUUACGUUAGCUGCAAGAUAGAAGAACGAUUCAUGAUGUUAUAUCAAUAUUAUUAGGGUCAUAAUUCAUCAACUUGCUAGUUCUUUUUAUGAAUCAUGAAUAGGAGAAUUUAUCGAGGAAGUGGAAGAACUAUUAAAACUUCAUGAAACCCUCACAAAGGUUUAUCUACAAAAUGUUAGAUUUUGUGGUUUUUAUAAUUAGAUAAGAUAUAUAUAAUAUAACUAAUUAAAAUCUGAUGAAAUAUAUUAGUCAAUAGAAAAGAAAUUCACUUAAAGUAUGAUUCCUUAGGAGAUAACUUUGAUUGGAGGAAAUUUCCUAAUUAUUUAUUUUAGACCCUCUGCUCUCACAUAUAAAUAGAUAGGAUCUCUAUGGACUAAAGAGUAAACAUCUCAAAGGUUAUAGUUGAGGGAUUACAGUUUUCCCUUAACUCUUUCUCCCUAAACCAUCAAUCUAGGUGAUCCUGUGAAAGAAUAGGAAGAGAGAAGAAGAAUCUAGUUCCCCUUUACAAAUUAACAACGAUGUUGGAUAUAAAGACAGUGUCGUUACAGAUCAAACAAAGAUAUCUUUUUCAUAUUGUAUCAAAAGAUGCAUCGUUAAAUCAGAUCUAAGUAUUUGAUUAUAAUCCUAGUAUAAAAGAUUAUUUCUACAUUUAAUACAACAUAUUACAGUUUUUAUGCUUACACAAAAAAAUAUGUAAACCUUUAUGGGUUGUAUCCAUGGAAAAGGAUGUUUUUAUGUCUAGAAGCCCAAGCUUAUGGCAUUGAAUAGAAAAAAUUCAUAAUCAUCAAUCCAAUCAUCAGGUUAAGAUCGAUCUAAACCAACCCAUUCCAUUAUAUAUAUAUAUAUAUAUAUAUAUAUAUAUAUAUAUAUAUAUACCAACUGUUAAACAACUUACUAGAAAUGCAAGACAAUUAAUAAGAAAUAUUACGAAAAUCUUCUCCUCAGCAUGAAGGAAUAUGUAAUAGGGUUUAUGUGCAACUCAUUCAGAUUAUGAGUUCCAAUAAAUGAUAUACUUUUUUCAGUAUUAAUGAGACCGGUACCGAUGAAUAAGGUAAAUGGAAAAGAUCUAUCAUAUACCUAUAUUGUGUAUGGAAUUUAUGGUUUCCAUUGGUGCAAAUCCAAUCACCUAGAUUUGAGAUGAAAAGCAAUUCCCUAACAAAUAGUUAUCUAUUAAAUGAAGAAAAUAGUAUUAUAAGAAGCAAAAAGAUUAUGCGCCUAUUGUUAAAAGAGCGGACUAAGAGGGUCAGCUACUUAGCAAACUUUCCUAAUUAAAUGUGGUUUCUGUAUAGAUAACUCUUAGUGUGAAAAGAGUUAUUACUCUAUAAUUGAUGGGUAGAGCCAAAGAGUGUGAACUAUACAAGUUCACAAUACCAUUUGGUCAAACGAAAUGGUAUUUCUCUAUAAGAACUAUAUAGAGUUAUUACUUUAUAAGAAAUAUUGUAUUGAGUGAAUCAUCAAUCAUUUGGAGUGUGAAGUGCAAUUAGAUCAAUUUAUUUAUUUUGAGGAUCAAUUAGGAGAAUUUAUGGUUGACUUGGAAAAAUAAAAAUAAAAUAAAGUAAUAAAGUAUUCGGGCUCCAUUAAGAAAAUAUCAAAUUGGUAAUCCAUGUAAUGUAUGAUUACCGCUUGUAUCAUAAACGAUUCUUAUCCUUAUUAUAGGAGUGAUUUCAAACGUCCAACCAAUAACCAAUGGAAUGGUACAAUGAGUACAUCGAAUGAUGGGGAAAGUCAUGAAAUUAAUUGAAAAAAAAAUUAUAACAAAAAGAAGUGGUACUGAAAUCAUUUUCCUAUAUAUGCAAAUGGAAUUUGGACAUAUCUUUUCCCGGAGUAGAACAUGAACCUAAAAGAAUUGAAAAGGCCCAUUCAGAAACAAGAAAAUUACAUCGUGAUUUGAACAUCGAUGAAACAAUACAUCAAUGAGAGAUAUUUACUCAAUUUCAAUAAGUUUAGUAAUUUUUUUUUAUAGGUAAGGAAGCCAAAACUCAUCAUAUCUUUUAAAAAAUGAAAGCUUUAUUAGAAAAACAAAAACCUAUUACAAAUAAAAAAGAGAACUAGAAUCAACACACUGAUUCUAUUUUUGUAAUUUUUUUGAACUGCAAGCAUCUAAAGGAACCAAUUUUAUCCUAAACAACUGACUUCAUCAAGAUAGAUUAUUAUUUUUUUAGGUCAAGAGGUUAAUUACGAGAUCUCAAAUCAAAUUAUUGGCCUCAUAGUAUAUCUCAGUAUAAAAGAUAAUGCUAAGGAUCUUUUUUUGUUUAUAAACUAUCUUGUCUAGCAUUCCCUCAUGGCACCAAUAAGAUUUUAUUUGAAAACAAAAAAGAAAGACUAUGCCUUCGCCAUAUUGAAUAUGAAUAAUAAGUAAUAAUAGCAUGGCACUUCGAUUU
rnacentral:lncRNA from 1 species